GGAUGUGAGGGCGAUCGGGCUGCGACAUCUGUCACCCAUUGAUCGCCAGGGUUGAUUCGGCUGGUCUGGCUGGCUCGGCGGGUGUCCCCCUCCUCCCUCACCGAUCCAUGUGCGUCCCUCCGGAAGCUGUGCGCUCGGUCGCUCGGUCGAAGAGGACAACCUUCCCCCCAGGAGAGGACCGGUCUUCGGUCAAGGGUCUACGAGUGGCUGCGCUCCCCUGCUAGAACCUCCAGACAAGCUCUCAAAGAUCUAUUUCCAAAAUCUGUAAGGACUCACACACCUCAGCAGAC
rnacentral:snRNA from 1 species